GACAGAGGUGCCGAGCGUUAGGCGGAAUCACUGGGCUUAAAGCGUGUGUAGGCGGACCGUUAAGUACCUUGUGAAAUCCCCCCGGCUCAACCGGGGAACGGCUGGGUAUACUGGCGGUCUUGAGCCAUCCAGGGGCAGUCGGAACAGACGGUGGAGCGGUGAAAUGCGUAGAUAUCGUCUGGAACGCCGAAGGUGAAAACAGACUGCUGGGGAUGAGCUGACGCUGAGACGGCGAAAGCGUGGGGAGCGAACAGG
rnacentral:rRNA from 1 species